AUUGAACGCUGGCGGCAUGCCUAACACAUGCAAGUCGAACGGUAACAGGCCCUUCGGGGUGCUGACGAGUGGCGGAUGGGUGAGUAAUACUUAGGAAUCUACCCUGUAGUGGGGGACGAACCCGGGGAAACUCGGGCUAAUACCGCAUACGCUCUACGGAGGAAAGCGGGGGACCGGCAAGGCCUCGCGCUAUUGGAUGAGCCUAAGCCCGAUUAGCUAGUUGGUGGGGUAAUAGCCUACCAAGGCAAUGAUCGGUAGCUGGUCUGAGAGGACGACCAGCCACACUGGGACUGAGACACGGCCCAGACUCCUACGGGAGGCAGCAGUGGGGAAUAUUGGACAAUGGGCGAAAGCCUGAUCCAGCGAUGCCGCGUGUGUGAAGAAGGCCUGC
rnacentral:rRNA from 1 species